rnacentral:rRNA from 1 species
CACGUAAGCCCCGAGCGUUGUUCGGAAUUAUUGGGCGUAAAGGGCGCGCAGGCGGCCCUGCAAGUCUGGGGUGAAAUCCCGGGGCCCAACCCCGGAACCGCCCUGGAAACUGCUGGGCUGGAGUCGCCGAAGGGAAGCCGGAAUUCCUGGUGUAGGGGUGAAAUCUGUAGAUAUCAGGAAGAACACCGAUGGCGAAGGCAGGCUUCCGGCGGACGACUGACGCUGAGGCGCGAAGGCGCGGGGAGCAAAC